rnacentral:rRNA from 1 species
AUCUACCUACGGGGCGCAGCAGUGAGGAAUAUUGGUCAAUGGGAGAGAUCCUGAACCAGCCAAGCCGCGUGAGGGAAGACGGCCCUAUGGAUUGUAAACCUCUUUUGCCGGGGAGCAAAAAGCGGUACGUGUACCGCAUCGAGAGUACCCGGAGAAAAAGCAUCGGCUAACUCCGUGCCAGCAGCCGCGGUAAUACGGAGGAUGCGAGCGUUAUCCGGAUUUAUUGGGUUUAAAGGGUGCGCAGGCGGCGAGUUAAGUCAGCGGUAAAAUUUCGGGGCUCAACCCCGACGAGCCGUUGAAACUGG